GGCACUUGUUAGUCCUGGGCCUCUUCCUGUCCGUUAUCACACAAGCCUAUUGUCGAUUUGGGGGACUUGAACCUCAGGAGUACGCCGGACCGGGAGAACAGGCUCUUGUGUCCAAGAAUCGGAAUGCUAUUAUUAGAAAGUUACCUUCGUACAUAGACAGACCGAUUGGGUCAUUGACAGCUUUGGUGUUCCGGAAACAGGGUGUUAUAGUAACAACGUAUUUCAUUAAGGUGCGGAUUGGAGGGCGUCGUCCACGCUUCAUUCACGUCAGAAUAUUUGCUGGGAAGGAUAAUAGAAGUAAAGUGCAAGCGGUUAAAUCCGUGAACCAGUACGAACCCAUCGUGUAUUUUGAGUGAGACUGGCG